UGAGGAGAAACAGCCCUGAGGAGGUUCUGAGGGGAUCUAGGAGGGUUCUGAGGAGGUCCUGAGAGGUUUUGAGGGGGAUCUGUGAGGGGAAACAGCCCUGAGGAGGUUCUGAGGGGGUCUGUGAGGGGAAACAUCCACUGAGGGGAUCUAGAAGGGUUCUGAGGAGAUCCUGAGAGGUUUUGAGUGGGUCUCUGAGGAGAAAUCCCCACCAAGGUGGUUGUGAGGGGAAAUCUCCACCGAGGGGGAUCUAGAAGGGUUCUGAGGAGGUUCUGAGAAGUUCUGAGGAGUUUGUGAGGGCAAACAGCCCUGAGGGGGCUCUGAGGGGAUCUAGGAGGGUUCUGAGGAGGUCCUGAGAGGUUUUGAGGGGAUCUGUGAGGAGAAACAGCCCUGAGGAGGUUCUGAGGGGAUCUAGGAGGGUUCUGAGGAGGUCCUGAGAGGUUUUGAGGGGGGUCUCUGAGGGGAAACAUCCACUGAGGGGAUCUAGGAGGGUUCUGAGGAGGUCCUGAGAGGUUUUGAGGGGGUCUGUGAGGGGAAACAGCCCUGAGGAGGUUUCUGAGGGGAUCCGGACAGGUUCUGUGUGGUCACUGCCAUCCCCUUUCACUUUUCGUGUCCCCUCAGAACUCCCCCUUUUUUCCAGGUGCCACCACUGCCCGUCACCCUUCUCCAGCUGCCACCACUGACCGUCACUCUCCUCCAGCUGCCACCACUGCCCGUGACCCUCUCCAGCUGCCACCACUGACCGUCACUCUUCUCCAGCUGCCACCACUGACCGUCACUCUUCUCCAGCUGCCACCACUGCCCGUCACCCUCUCCAGGUGCCACCACUGACCGUGACCCUCUCCAGCUGCCACCACUGACCGUCACCCUUCUCCAGCUGCCACCACUGACCGUCACCCUCUCCAGCUGCCACCACUGACCGUCACUCUUCUCCAGCUGCCACCACUGACCGUGACCCUCUCCAGGUGCCACCAGCCCCGUGUCCCUCACCGUGGAGUCCCUGCGCGCUCUCUCGCAGCUGCACUCCCCGCAGGGCGGUGGAGUUACCGGCGCCCACCACGGCCACCGGCGGGGCCAGCCCGGGGAGGCGGCGGGCCGCACGUGGCGCCGCUGGCCGGGCUGGGAGGAGGAGGAGGAGUGCCUGGACUUCUACGGCAUGCUGUCCCUGCACCGGCUCUUCGAGGUGCUGGCCGCGCAGCUGACGCCCAGCGACGUGGCCGUGCUGUCCUUCCUGCUGGACGAGGCGCUGG
rnacentral:lncRNA from 1 species